rnacentral:tRNA from 1 species
GCAGUCGUGGCCCAGUGGUUAAGGCGAUGAACUAGAAAUCCAUUGGGGUCUCCCCGCACAGGUUCGAAUCCUGUCGACUGCG